rnacentral:rRNA from 1 species
CCUACGGGUGGCAGCAGUGAGGAAUAUUGGUCAAUGGGCGAGAGCCUGAACCAGCCAAGUCGCGUGAGGGAAGACGGUCCUAUGGAUUGUAAACCUCUUUUGCCGGGGAGCAAAAAGCGGUACGUGUACCGCAUCGAGAGUACCCGGAGAAAAAGCAUCGGCUAAGUCCGUGCCAGCAGCCGCGGUAAUACGGAGGGUUCGAGCGUUAUCCGGAUUUAUUGGGGUUAAAGGGUGCGCAGGCGGCGAGUGAAGGCAGCUGUGAAAUUUCCGGGCUCAACCCCGGCCAUCCGGUGGAAACUGGCGUGCUAGAGUCGGCGGGAAGCAGGCGGAAUGCGUGGUGUAGCGGUGAAAUGCUUAGAUAUGACGAAGAACCCCGAUUGCGAAGGCAGCAUACUGGAGCGCAACUGACGCUGAUGCACGAAAGCGUGGGUAUCGAACAGGAUUAGAUACCCUGGUAGUC